rnacentral:rRNA from 1 species
ACGUAGGUGGCAAGCGUUGUCCGGAUUUAUUGGGUUUAAAGGGUGCGUAGGCGGUUCUCUAAGUCAGUUGUGAAAUACGGCAGCUUAACUGUCGAGGUGCAAUUGAUACUGGAGAACUUGAGUACUGAUGAGGUAGGCGGAAUGGACGGUGUAGCGGUGAAAUGCUUAGAUAUCAGGAGGAAUACCGAUGGCGAAGGCAGGUCUCUGGGCUGACACUGACGCUCAUGCACGAAAGCGUGGGGAGCAAACAGGA